AAUGGGCGAAAGCCUGACGCAGCAACGCCGCGUGAGGGAUGAAGGCCUUCGGGUUGUAAACCUCUUUUAGCUGGGAAGAAAAAAAUGACGGUACCAGCAGAAAAAGCACCGGCUAACUCUGUGCCAGCAGCCGCGGUAAUACAGAGGGUGCAAGCGUUAUUCGGAUUUAUUGGGCGUAAAGCGCAUGUAGGUGGUUCGUUAAGUCUGAUGUGAAAUCCCUGGACUCAAUUCAGGAAGUGCAUUGGAUACUGGCGGACUAGAGUACAGGAGAGGAAGGCGGAAUUCCAGGAGUAGAGGUGAAAUUCGUAGAUAUCUGGAGGAACAACAGUGGCGAAGGCGGCCUUCUGGACUGUAACUGACACUAAGAUGCGAAAGCGUGGGGAGCAAA
rnacentral:rRNA from 1 species